rnacentral:rRNA from 1 species
GGCAUUGAAGCAGUCUAUGUCAUACUUCCUAGAAAAGCUUGCACUGUCAUAAACAAAUAAUGCCUGUACCAUAACCUACACAGGUGGGUAGGUAGAGUAUACUAAGGGGCGCGAGAUAACUCUCUCUAAGGAACUUGGCAAAAUGACUCCGUAACUUCGGGAGAAGGAGUGCCUCAUUUAUAAGGUUGCAAUAACAAGAUACAAGCAACUGUUUAUCAAAAACACAGGUCUCCGCUAAGUCGUAAGACGAUGUAUGGGGGCUGACGCCUGCCCAGUGCCAGAAGGUUAAAGAAGUUGGUUAGCAUUCGCGAAGCUGAUAACUGAAGCCCUGGUGAACGGCGGCCGUAACGAUAACGGUCCUAAGGUAGCGAAAUUCCUUGUCGGGUAAGUUCCGACCCGCACGAAAGGCGUAAUGAUUUGGAUACUGUCUCGGAGAGGGGCUCGGUGAAAUAGACUUGUCUGUGAAGAUGCGGACUACCUGCACCUGGACAGAAAGACCCUAUGAAGCUUUACUGUAACUUGAAAUUGAAAUUGGACUUUAUUUGCGCAGUAUAGGUGGGAGGCAUUGAAGAUAUUCUUGCCGGAAUAUUGGAGCCAUCAGUGAGAUACCACUCUUGUAAUGUUAGGUUUCUAACUUUGUAUCAUUAUCUGGUCAAAGAACAGUUUCAGGCGGGCAGUUUGACUGGGGCGGUCGCCUCCCAAAUGGUAACGGAGGCGCACAAAGGUUUCCUCUGAACGGGUAGAAAUCGUAUCUAGAGUGUAAAGGCAUAAGGAAGCUUGACUGUGAGACCUACAAGUCGAGCAGGGACGAAAGUCGGUCUUAGUGAUCUGACGGUGCUGAGUGGAAAGGCCGUCACUCAACGGAUAAAAGUUACUCUAGGAUAACAGGCUGAUCUCCCCCAAGAGUUCACAUCGACGGGGAGGUUUGGCACCUCGAUGUCGGCUCAUCGCAUCCUGGGGCGGUAGUACGUCCCAAGGGUUGGGCUGUUCGCCCAUGAAAGCGGUACGCGAGCUGGGUUCAGAACGUCGUGAGACAGUUCGGUCCAUAUCCGGUGUAGGCGUUAGAAUAUUGAGAGGAGCCUUCUUUAGUACGAGAGGACCGAGAAGGACAUACCUCUGGUGUACCAGUUAUUGUGCCAACGGUAAACGCUGGGUAGCUAUGUAUGGAGAGGAUAACCGCUGAAAGCAUCUAAGUGGGAAGCCCACCUCAAGAUAAGUAUUCUC